UAGAGGGGGGUAGAAUUCCAGGUGUAGCGGUGAAAUGCGUAGAGAUCUGGAGGAAUACCGGUGGCGAAGGCGGCCCCCUGGACGAAGACUGACGCUCAGGUGCGAAAGCGUGGGGAGCAAACAGGAUUAGAUACCCUGGUAGUCCACGCCGUAAACGAUGUCGACUUGGAGGUUGUGCCCUUGAGGCGUGGCUUCCGGAGCUAACGCGUUAAGUCGACCGCCUGGGGAGUACGGCCGCAAGGUUAAAACUCAAAUGAAUUGACGGGGGCCCGCACAAGCGGUGGAGCAUGUGGUUUAAUUCGAUGCAACGCGAAGAACCUUACCUGGUCUUGACAUCCACAGAACUUUCCAGAGAUGGAUUGGUGCCUUCGGGAACUGUGAGACAGGUGCUGCAUGGCUGUCGUCAGCUCGUGUUGUGAAAUGUUGGGUUAAGUCCCGCAACGAGCGCAACCCUUAUCCUUUGUUGCCAGCGGUCCGGCCGGGAACUCAAAGGAGACUGCCAGUGAUAAACUGGAGGAAGGUGGGGAUGACG
rnacentral:rRNA from 1 species